GGAGAGAUAGCUUAAGUGGUAGAGCACAUGCCUAGCACGCACAAGGUCCUGGGUUCAAUCUCAGUACCUCCA
rnacentral:tRNA from 1 species